rnacentral:lncRNA from 1 species
GGCUUCAUAAUAUGAUGAUGUAGAUUUAUGUAUUCUUUGCCUUCAAAACUAAAAAGGAAGCUGAUUGUCACGCAACAAGACUUUUUAGCUUGUCAACAUGCGGCAUUUGUGAGGUUGUUCUCCCCUGAACUAACACAAGGAAGCCUAAUCAAUCAAAUGGCUGUACAGAUUACAAGAGCUUUCUUAAUGCAAUCAAUCUCUAAUAUUCUAUUUGUUAUUUACAAAUUCGUGAGACUCUCUAUUUAUAGAUUAAGACCUCAUUAAUUAAGACUUUUUGGAGAAAUUCCCCGCCAGCUAUGUUUUUGAGAAGCUGGAUGUUCUGCUGGUCAACUUUCCCCCAAUUCUGGAAUCUUCCCCAGCCUAGCAGUCUUGCUAGAUUCGUAGGCCUACCACAGAGAACGGCCCAGCAGCCCUUAAGUGGACUUCUCAUAUCCAGCCUCAUGGAUGGCCAGUGCCUGCGCCUGGCAGUCCAGUCCGCAUGUCCAGUUUCUUGCGCGCCUAACCCAUCCUGCAGUGCUUUCUCCCAGCUGUCUAUCGUUCCUCAGAAUUUGGAGGUUGACAUGAUGCUGCCCUUUCUGCAUUUCCUGGGAAGCUAAGGUCAGGAAGCAACAAAGAAUAAUAUGGGCUAUAAAAUUUCUUUUUCUGUCUCCUCCUUGUAAGAGUUAAGGUGAUGAGCAGAAUUGAGAAAUUGAGAAUUCCCAUUUCAAUUGUCAUGAUUUUUAUCUGCUUGCUCAUCUCCAGAGUUGAACUCAGUUGAAGUAUCAUCAGACUGCAGACCUUCAUUUUCUCGUUGUCUCACAAAUUGUCUGCGACUGCUUGCUCUAAUUGGCCUUCCCAUAAAUAUCUAUCCCUUAAUAAAUUCUCAGAGAGUUAGUUCUUCACGUCAGGCAGUCUUUAAGGACUCCAAGCAAGAAGGCAAUGAAUUCACAUUCUUCAGCAAUCAAAUUAGUGUAGCAUAAUUGCAAGACCUAAUAUUACUUUUCUGGUGGAGAUUUAAAAAAACUGACUUGAUUGUAC